UGCAAGUCGAACGGCAGCACGGGAGCAAUCCUGGUGGCGAGUGGCGAACGGGUGAGUAAAGUAUCGGAACGUGCCCAGUCGUGGGGGAUAACGUAGCGAAAGUUACGCUAAUACCGCAUACGAUCUAUGGAUGAAAGCGGGGGAUCGCAAGACCUCGCGCGAUUGGAGCGGCUGAUAUCAGAUUAGGUAGUUGGUGGGGUAAAGGCUCACCAAGCCGACGAUCUGUAGCUGGUCUGAGAGGACGACCAGCCACACUGGGACUGAGACACGGCCCAGACUCCUACGGGAGGCAGCAGUGGGGAAUUUUGGACAAUGGGCGCAAGCCUGAUCCAGCCAUGCCGCGUGCAGGAUGAAGGCCUUCGGGUUGUAAACUGCUUUUGUACGGAACGAAAAGGUUUGGCCUAAUAAGUUGAACUCAUGACGGUACCGUAAGAAUAAGCACCGGCUAACUACGUGCCAGCAGCCGCGGUAAUACGUAGGGUGCGAGCGUUAAUCGGAAUUACUGGGCGUAAAGCGUGCGCAGGCGGUUAUGUAAGACAGAUGUGAAAUCCCCGGGCUCAACCUGGGAACUGCAUUAGUGACUGCAUAGCUGGAGUACGGCAGAGGGGGAUGGAAUUCCGCGUGUAGCAGUGAAAUGCGUAGAUAUGCGGAGGAACACCGAUGGCGAA
rnacentral:rRNA from 1 species